rnacentral:tRNA from 1 species
ACCUGGCUGGAUCAGUUGGUAGAGUGUGUGACUCUGGAUCUCGGGGUUGUGAGUUCAAGCCCCACGUUGGGUG